CUGGCUUCUGAGAGCAGAAAGGAAAUCCAACAAGAUAAGACUGCAGGAGAAAUGCUUUCCGGGGGAUGCCAUGGGAUUUCAGUGACCCCAUUAAACACGAAUAGAACAGCUCAAGAGUGCAUCUCUCAUGGUUAACAAAAAGAAGACACAGAAACCCUGGAAAACAAGCAUAAUUAACAAAGAAACACAAGAACAUGCCAAGAAUUCAUCCUAUCGGUAGAUAUAAAGCAGGUAGUCAUGAAGUAUGCUUAUCAAGAGCCCACUUCUAGUUCAGUUUUCCAUUCUGAAUACUGGCUUUGGCUUUCUCUUGUCUGAUGAGAGA